AUCUUCACACUUUAAAAUCAAUAUGGAAAAGUAGAUCAGUAUAUCAAAUGUUUUGCAGCCUUUAAUCCACCAUGGCUGUGCUCUAAAUCCUAAAGAGCUGCAUAUAAUGUCACAACUGACCAAUCAGAAUCAGGUAUUCCUGUGAAAUACAGAGGAUUAUGUUGGUCUGCCAAAACUGUUCCUUACCUCAUCACUGGCAUGCUAGCCGAGUGCUGUAUGGAGCGUAUACUAUCCGUCAGCAGCAAAGAAGAGCAAAUAGGAGUUAGCUAAAGCUGUGAGUAUUAGACGCAUUACAAGAGGGGAAAUAAAGUCAUGCACCUACACAUGUCUGAGUUUAUAAUCAGCAUGAAAA